rnacentral:rRNA from 1 species
CACGACUACAUUAGAUACCCGCGUAGUCCCAGCCCUAAACGAUGCGCGUUAGGUGUAUCGGUGACCACGAGUCACCGAGGUGCCGAAGGGAAACCGUGAAACGUGCCGCCUGGGAAGUACGGUCGCAAGGCUGAUACUUAAAGGAAUUGGCGGGGGAGCACCACAACGGGUGGAGCCUGCGGUUUAAUUGGACUCAACGCCGGGAAGCUCACCGGAUAAGACAGCGGAAUGAUUGCCGGGCUGAAGACCCUGCAUGACCAGCUG